rnacentral:rRNA from 1 species
AGCAGCCGCGGUAAUUCCAGCUCCAAUAGCGUAUAUUAAAGUUGUUGCAGUUAAAAAGCUCGUAGUUGAAUUUCGGGAUCAAUAUGUUUGGUCGUGCCUCGGUACGUACUAGCUUAUUGGUUUCUCCUUUCUGAAGAACCAUGAUGUCAUUUAUUUGGUGUCGUGGGGAAUCAGGACUGUUACUUUGAAAAAUUAGAGUGUUUAAAGCAGGCUCACGCUUGAAUACAUUAGCAUGGAAUAAUGAAAUAGGACGUUUGAUUCUAUUUUGUUGGUUUCUAGGAUCGACGUAAUGAUUAAUAGGGAUAGUUGGGGGCAUUAGUAUUCAAUUGUCAGAGGUGAAAUUCUUGGAUUUAUUGAAGACUAACUACUGCGAAAGCAUUUGCCAAGGAUGUUUUCAUUAAUCAAGAACGAAAGUUAGGGGAUCGAAGACGAUCAGAUACCGUCGUAGUC